GCAAAGGCAGCACAACAAAAGAGCUUGUGGCCUAUGACAGACCACGGAUUGAUCCGGCGCUAUGAAGCUCAUGGCUGACGGCGAAAGGAGCUCGCGUUGCUCAUGACGUGCUCGACGAAAUGCCUGAGACUAAUCUGGUUCAUCCCAUCCAUGCUAGAGAGAGAGUUGAUAGAGAGCAUAUUCGGGUCAACAUGCCAUGCCAGCAAUAGAUGUUACGUGAA
rnacentral:lncRNA from 1 species